GACUGCCCAAGAGGACAUCUCCCUAAAAAAAGACAUCUCCCUGAGCCCUAGCAGAUUCCACCCCUCCACCGAUCUUGCCCCAGCGAGGCAUCGACGUGCCGUGGAGGGAUCCCUAGCGCCGCUCCUCCUCCUCUCCAGUUUCCACACCGGGAUUCCUUCUAAUAAAGAUCCAAGCAGUAUCUUCUUGAUGCCCUUCCUCUCCAACCAUUGAAUCGCCUCUGCCCCAAAGGUACGAGUAAAUAUUGGUCUUUGACAUUGAUCCUUAAAUUUAAUAGUACUAAUUCAGAAGAUGGGUGCAUAACGAUAUCAUCGGAUUAAUCAAGAUUAUAAACUACUUUUUCAUUUGGGUAUGGACGUGGGUGGUAUCAUUUUCACAGGAGCAACGACUGGACAUGCAUCAAUAGGUGCUAAACUCACAUGCUACUACAAUGGACAGCUCUACAACAUUUUAUUUUAGAUGUACAACAAUAGAAGGGAAAUGUGCAUGUAGACGAUCAUGUGUUUGACGAUCAUACUUCUAAGUCCUUACUAUAACAACAAGAAGUUAAUCAGCAUGAUGUACUUAUGUUGUUGUGAUCAAACAUGUUGUCAUGUUUUAAAUGCCAUCUAAUGCAACUUGAGAUCACAUGCUCUAUUUU